UACGGGGGGAGCAAGCGUUGUUCGGAUUUACUGGGCGUAAAGGGCGCGUAGGCGGCCAGUGCAAGUCAGUUGUGAAAUCUCCGAGCUUAACUCGGAAAGGUCAACUGAUACUGCUCGGCUAGAGUGCGGAAGGGGCAACUGGAAUUCUUGGUGUAGCGGUGAAAUGCGUAGAUAUCAAGAGGAAUACCGAUGGCGAAGGCAGGUCUCUGGGCUGACACUGACGCUCAUGCACGAAAGCGUGGGGAGCAAACAGG
rnacentral:rRNA from 1 species